rnacentral:tRNA from 1 species
GCCUUCGUGGUGUAGUGGUCAGCACGCUUGGCGCGUAUUCGAGAGGUCCGUGGUUCGAAUUCCGGCGAAGGCA